rnacentral:lncRNA from 1 species
AAAGAAUCCGUCUCUUAGGUUCGUUGUAAGAAUUAAAUGAGACAAUGUGUACCAAAUUCUUAACAGAGUCUGGAAUAUAAUAAGUGUUCUGUAGACAGGGCCACAGCUAGCAUGCAGGGUGUCUUUGUGGUAAUUGGAAAAGGGUGUGCUCAUUUGGGUAGACACAUUAGAAAAAGAUGUCCCUUCCUCUGGGCUGGCUCAGGCUGGUGCCUGACUUGGGAAGCAGAGUUCCUCCCUCGGCUGGCCACCCUUUGGCUGGUCACAACCCACAAAACUGAAGGUGGAGGCCCUGUCCGUACAUGUUUGCUAUGGUAAGUACCAACAGUUCUUGCAGACGGACAACUGUGUGCGCUCUCACUGUGGAGGCCCCCUUGGAGGAGGUAGCUGACUCUCACUUCUCAGAACCACAGUGCUAGGCUCAGCAGAGUCUCAUCUUGAUAAACUUCUGUGAGAACAAAGGCAUGGGGACACACUGAAUUUUCCUUUUCUGAGCUUGAAACCAGCUGAUCAUGCUUCCUGUUUCUCUAAGGGCUUCCCUGACAUAGACGACUUGCUUCUUUCAAAUUUGGUCAUCGCCCUCUUGCCUUCCUGUGUGAGUCAGCGUGGCUGCCCUUGUGCACGCCAGGCUCCUGUCUGUGCUCCGGGGCCUGUUUCCUGGCCUCCCCAGAUGAGGAAACUGAGGCACAAAAAGGUGAAGUCCUGAGCUCACAGUCAUGCAACCAGCAGGUGGUGAAACACACCUCCAAGCUGCCUGCCUCCUAAGCAUCAAGCUUUGUGGCCCAGGAUCUACUUCAUGCUCCAAAUAUUCAUGGACCUUCCCAGGACCUCAACAAAACAAAACCAUGAAGAAAAACCUUGACAUGAACCCCAAAAAAACCCAGUCAGCAAUAUUUUAAGUUAAAUUUUGAAACAAAUCCAAACGGGUUCCUCCCCAUAAAUCUACCAGUAAAUUGUGCAGAAUCAGAACUGAAGCCAUGCCCUUUCUUAAAGUAUUGAAUUAGAAUAAAUGAGAACAUCUAAAUAUUUUCCAAAUUCAUAUUCCAGUUAUAAUAUUCAAGUUUCUUAGUUUCUCUCUGUUCACAUUCAACAUGAAAUAGUCCCAUUAGUCAGUAGCAAGAGCUGCAACAUUUCUACAGGUACUAAAGGAUGUGAUCAGAGCAGGGAAGAUGGCCAACAAGAUGAUGCCACUCUAGCGGGUGCCCAUCCAAAUCAUAACCCAUGAAUACUGCGGCUUUAUUAUCUUGGACAACAGAAAGCUGAUCUUGUAAUUGGAUGAUCACCCCUGCUUGCAUGCUUUCGAGUAGUUACGUAUGACAAAAGGAGCUACUGGUUUUGUGAUGAUGGGUUUCUGGGUAAACCCUAGAUGCAGAAGCAGCUUUUAAGCAUAGCAGAGCAAGAGUCAAAUGGUUCUGAAAAAAGUUUUAACUCUGAGAUGACUUCUCCCCGCUUCUUUCACUCUACCCUCUCAAUCCUAGAGCAAGUGAGCAGAGUAGGUAAAGCUGUUUCCUCCAGAAAGAUGAUCCAUAUUUUAAACAGCUCUGUGAAUGGGGCACUAAGACUCAGAAGAUCUGGUUUUCAGUUCGCAUUCUGCCUUUAACUGGUCUUGAAAGUUUGGGCAACUCAAUUAUCUCAUGGAGUCAGUAUUUGCAUCUGUACAGUGGGGAUAUGAAUACCUGUCUUACCUACACGGAGCUGUAAGAGCAACAGAAUGUGAGCUGGCAUGAUGUUAUUAUAUGUAUCACCUUGGUUAUUUUAAAACAUGCUUGAUGUAUUAGC